GCUGUGAUAGUUUGGCGACAGAGCAUUUCCAUGGUAAGGAAGGGGUCUUGAGUUCAAAUCUCAAUGACAGCU
rnacentral:tRNA from 1 species